UACGAAGGGGGCUAGCGUUGCUCGGAAUCACUGGGCGUAAAGCGCGCGUAGGCGGAUCUGCAAGUCGGGGGUGAAAUCCCGAGGCUCAACCUCGGAACUGCCUUCGAUACUGCGGGUCUCGAGUCCGGGAGAGGUGAGUGGAAUUCCUAGUGUAGAGGUGAAAUUCGUAGAUAUUAGGAAGAACACCAGUGGCGAAGGCGGCUCACUGGCCCGGUACUGACGCUGAGACGCGAAAGCGUGGGGAGCAAACAGG
rnacentral:rRNA from 1 species